rnacentral:rRNA from 1 species
CCUACGGGUGGCAGCAGUGGGGAAUAUUGCACAAUGGGCGCAAGCCUGAUGCAGCCAUGCCGCGUGUGUGAAGAAGGCCUUCGGGUUGUAAAGCACUUUCAGCGGGGAGGAAGGCGUUAAGGUUAAUAACCUUGUCGAUUGACGUUACCCGCAGAAGAAGCACCGGCUAACUCCGUGCCAGCAGCCGCGGUAAUACGGAGGGUGCAAGCGUUAAUCGGAAUUACUGGGCGUAAAGCGCACGCAGGCGGUCUGUCAAGUCGGAUGUGAAAUCCCCGGGCUCAACCUGGGAACUGCAUUCGAAACUGGCAGGCUAGAGUCUUGUAGAGGGGGGUAGAAUUCCAGGUGUAGCGGUAAAAUGCGUAGAGAUCCGGAGGAAUACCGGUGGCGAAGGCGGCCCCCUGGACAAAGACUGACGCUCAGGUGCGAAAGCGUGGGGAGCAAACAGGAUUAGAUACCCUUGUAGUC